GAUGAACGCUAGCGGCAGGCUUAAUACAUGCAAGUCGAGGGGUAACAGGUCUGUAGCAAUACAGAUGCUGACGACCGGCAAACGGGUGCGGAACACGUACAGAACCUUCCUUCGAGUGGGAGAUAGCCCAGGGAAACUUGGAGUAAUAUCCCAUAGGAUCAUAGAGUGGCAUCACUUAGUGAUUAAAGAUUUAUCGCUUGAAGAUGGCUGUGCGGCUGAUUAGGUAGUUGGUGUAGGUAACGGCUCACCAAGCCUUCGAUCAGUAACUGGUGUGAGAGCACGACCAGUCACACGGGCACUGAGACACGGGCCCGACUCCUACGGGAGGCAGCAGUAAGGAAUAUUGGGCAAUGGAGGCAACUCUGACCCAGCCAUGCCGCGUGGAGGAUGAAGGUCCUCUGGAUUGUAAACUUCUUUUAUUUGGGAAGAAAUGCCGAUUUUCUAAUUGGUUUGACGGUACCAGAUGAAUAAGCACCGGCUAACUCCGUGCCAGCCGCCGCCGUAAAAC
rnacentral:rRNA from 1 species